rnacentral:rRNA from 1 species
CACGUAGUCGGCUUUGCAAGUCGGUUGUGAAAUCCCCGGGCUCAACCUGGGAACUGCAUCCGAGACUGCAUUGCUAGAGUAUGGGAGAGGAAAGCGGAAUUUCUGGUGUAGCAGUGAAAUGCGUAGAUAUCAGAAGGAACAUCAGUGGCGAAGGCGGCUUUCUGGACCAAUACUGACGAUCAGGUGCGAAAGCGUGGGGAGCAAACA